UUGCCAUGGCGGCCGCGGCCCAAUUCCAGACUGCCGGUGGGUCCAAGGACUCGGGGCCCUUCCCGCGAUGGCCCUCCCCCGGGCGCCCCAGCGCCUGCCAAGUGGAGGUGCUGGCCCUGGGGCCGACUCUCUAGAAGCGGCCAGUGGGUUCGGCGAACUGCGCCCCGCACAGCAGCAGAGUCCCCCCGCUGCGGAGUCGGCACUUUCUCAUCCUCUUGCUCAGGCGGGCAUGAUUAGGGGGCUGGGAAGGAGGACUCACGGAAGGCGACGCAGCAAGAAGUGACAGCGACCCAGACCCAGCAGGGUCAGUCUGCAGGAAUUCUGACAGCAUUCCUCUGAGUCAGAGAUAGUGUCCUCUUGUACAGAUGAAGAGAUAACCUUCAAGGAAUAUGUUGACUUAACCGAAGUCACAAGCUUGCCAGAGUUAGAAGAUGUGAUUAAGAAUGUUGAGAUGAGGAUAUCAUUGAGGAUUGGCCAAGUGGGCCCUAAAUACCAUCACACAUAUCCUUGUAAGAGAGAGGGAAAGGAAGAUUAGACCAACACACACAGAAGAAGAGGAAGCAAUGUGACCGUGGAGGCAGAGAUUGAUGUGGCCACAAGCCAAGGAUUGUUGGCAGCCACCAAAAGUUGGAAGAGGCAGACGGAUUCUUCCCUAGAGCAUCUGGAGGGAAUACAGCCCUGCCAACACAUUGACUUCAGCCCAGUGAAACUCAUGUUGAAUUUAUGGCCUCCAGAACUAUGAGAGAAUAAAUUUCUGUUGUUUUAAGCUACCAGGCUUGUAGUAAUUUGUUUUGGCACCCACAGGAAACAAAUAAAUGGAUCUACA